rnacentral:rRNA from 1 species
GUCCACGCCGUAAACGAUGGAUACUAGCUGUUGGGAGCAAUCUCAGUGGCUAAGCGAAAGUGAUAAGUAUCCCACCUGGGGAGUACGUUCGCAAGAAUGAAACUCAAAGGAAUUGACGGGGGCCCGCACAAGCGGUGGAGCAUGUGGUUUAAUUCGAUGAUACGCGAGGAACCUUACCAAGGCUUAAAUGUAGAUUGACAGAUUUGGAAACAGAUUUUUCUUCGGACAAUUUACAAGGUGCUGCAUGGUUGUCGU